UACGGAGGGUGCAAGCGUUAUCCGGAUUCACUGGGUUUAAAGGGUGCGUAGGUGGCUUUGUAAGUCAGUGGUGAAAGCCCGGAGCUCAACUCCGGAACUGCCAUUGAUACUAUUAGUCUUGAAUUUUGUUGAGGUAGGCGGAAUAAGUCAUGUAGCGGUGAAAUGCAUAGAUAUGACUUAGAACACCAAUUGCGAAGGCAGCUUGCUAAACAAAUAUUGACGCUGAGGCACGAAAGCGUGGGGAUCAAACAGG
rnacentral:rRNA from 1 species